CCCCCCCCCCCCCCCCCCCCCCCCCCCCCCCCCCCCCCCCCUCCCGGCCGCUCCCGGCCGCCGCUCCCGGCCCCGCGGGGCCCGCCGCUGGCUGUAAGCUCACGGGGCUCGGCACACCGCGCCUUGGGUCCCUCCGGACGCGCUGCGGCCUGGGCUCUGCCUGCGAGGGGCGGCCGGAGGUGUGUGUUGCCUCUUCGUCCCCUUCUGAUGGAGAGAGAGGCCGGAAAAGCAGGAAAAAUGGCACAAGGGGAUGGCUACAAGGGAUGCCAGUGCUGGCACACAGCAGAGAUUUGGCAGAAGAAAUCCCAAAAAGGAGAAGCCAACAGGACUUACUGUAGAGGCCAGAGACUUUCCUUCUUCGUACUUACUGACUUCUCAGAGAGGUCCUGCUACUUCUGAUGCCACAGGUUAGGGGACUUUGGGUUUUAUUUAUUUACAGUGAUACCAUUUUUCAUGUGCAGGAACAGGAAAGCUGGUGAGGCUAUUUGGAUCCUGCCACAGGAUGUGUUGAAGGAAUGAAGACACAUUCCCCAGGCUGUGCCUCUGACUCCUCUCCUUUGGGCCUUCCCAUUACCUUCAGCUCUACCAGAAGGCUGUAAGAUGCUCCUGUGGUAAAUCUAGUAAUCUGCUGGACAAAGCACCAGGCACCUGAGAAGAUCUUCUAUGGCUUGUUGACAGCCAAUCUAAUUAUACCUGUGGUCGUUGCCACAGAUAGACACACACUUUUUUGGGAUCCUGAAAGAAAAACAUUAUGUAAAGAGAUGAGGUGCUUCCAUUUCCGUGAGACAGGGUACUUUUCACUGCUGAGCAGCUACCCACAGCUCCUGCACAGCACAGGCAGUCCAUAAAUCCACACAUUAGCUUC
rnacentral:lncRNA from 12 species